GGUGCCAUAGCCAAGUGGUAAGGCAGAGGUCUGCAAAACCUCGAUUCCCCAGUUCAAAUCUGGGUGGCACCU
rfam:Clostridium sp. CAG:413 genomic scaffold, scf294